CUGUCGCGGUUGUCGGCUUGGUUCGGCUGUUUCCCAGAUAUGCUGACCGUGCUGCUGCUGCUGCUGCUGCUGCUGUCCUUUUCCUCGGUUGACGGGGAGGGCAUCUCAAGUGUCUCCAGAACAGAGCUGCAGCUGGGGGUCAGAGGUCAACAUUGACAGGUGUCUCUUGUUUGCAGCCGGCAGGUGGAGGAAGAUCGUGGACGUCAGUGAAAACAGGAUGAUCAUUUCUAUUUCUAUAUUCUUCAUUCACUCAAAUUGAUCUUUAGGAAGCAGCACUGCAUCUUCCUUGUUUGACCAGCAGUGGAGUUUGGAGCUGUGUCCUUUACACAUUACUGCCACCCAGUGGUAAGAGCUGAGAUGGACAGACCUGCUUGUAUGAAGACUGCGAGACCCUCCUCUGGCCUUUGUUGACUCAUCUGCAGCUCAGCUCCACAGUUUGUCCACUGAAGCCUCAGAGAGGACUGGAGAAGGUGGGGACAGAAGAUGGGCAGCUGGUCCAGAUGGUCUCCUGAACAGCUUUAUGGAGGAGUUUGUUUAAGAUGCUUUGAUAAAUUAAGCGAAAAAAAAUUUGCUUGGUGUUAGUCAUUAAUGUCUUGGCUAAUUACGUUUAUGUUUGUCCAUCACUGUCAUAGAAACAAACAGUGCUUCACAUAUAUGGCCACAAUUAUUAUAAGAUCAAAAAGCGAUUUUAAUUACUUACCUGAUAUCUACUAGAAACAGAAUAACAGAUUACAUUUUUACCCUUACUUUAUUCCUAUUGAUGUGGUUUUAUUUCAGUAAUAUAUUAUAUAUGGCUGGUUUCUUCUGCCUGGUAGGAAAGAAAGGAAAAACAACAAAUAGAUAAAUGAGUUCCUAACACCUUAGUUGUUUAUUUCAUGUGUUUUUUGUUUUUCUCUCCCUAUUCCCCUCUCCCUCUCAAAUCAAAAUAUAUAUCUAAAUCUAUAGCCAUAACUGUCAGUUGUUUCUGUAGUAGUGUAUGCCAUCAUGUUAUGUUAUCAUAUGUUAUCUAAUGUUAUCUUAUGUUAUCUUAUGUUAUCUUAUGUUAUCUUAUGUUAUCUUAUGUCUUGUUAUGUUAUCACUUUCUUUGUCUUUAUUUUGCUUCACCAUAGAGUUAAAUAAUUAAAUAACACGUGGUCAAAGAUUAACGCUCACUGCCAAUAAAGAGUUAUUAAUGGAAAGAUUAUAACACAGGAGCACAGAAACAGAUGCAAUCAUUGCAAUUAUUUAUGGAGGUGAUACAUUGCUUUCAUCAUUCCUCCCGUCCACACUGGCUGUGAAGAGAUCCCCUCUCAGUUGAACUGAAGUGAAUAAAUCCUCAGUCUUCAUUCUGAGCAAAAACACUCUCUGAAGUUCUGCCAGAUCUAAUACAAAGCUUCCACGGUGUGAAUUAUUUCAAUACAGUGGGUUUUACAACCAAAUGUUACAGUAUUUUUAGUAUGAAACUCCUUCAUCGUGUUAAUCUCCCUCCAUCACGGCUCAGCAAAGAAAAGCUCUAAAAAGCCUGUUGGCUCUUACUCGUGUCUGUAUAAUGCAGAUUGCUGAAACAUCAUAUUAGUUUUGACUGAACUUUACACAGAAUGAGACAGACACCCAUCUCUCAUCCCAAUGUCAUUGUAUUAAGAGAGAAUCUCUUCACAGUCAGUAUCCAAUAACUUUUAAUGUACAUAUUUGCAUAUUAUGUUAUAUUACUAUCUUAACACUAAUGUAAGUUACCAAGGAAAACAAAAACAUUCACUCAAUUUCUCUUUGUUAUUAUAUCCUUCAUUUAACAAAGUAACCAGAUUUUUCAAGAG